CUUUUUAUGUCCCCCACUAUAGUAGUGGGGGACAUAUUGUUUUUGCCCUGUCUGUUGGUCUGUCUGUUGGUCUGUUGGUCUGUCUGUUUGCGCCAACUUUAACAUUUUGCAAUAACUUUUGCUAUAUUGAAGAUAGCAACUUCAUAUUUGGCAUGCAUGUGUAUCUCAUGAAGCUGCACAUUUUGAGUGGUGAAAGGUCAAGGUCAAGGUCAUCCUUCAAGGUCAGAGGUCAAAUAUAUGUGGCCAAAAUCGCUCAUUUUAUGAAUACUUUUGCAAUAUUGAAGAUAGCAACUUGAUAUUUGGCAUGCAUGUGUAUCUCAUGGAGCUGCACAUUUUGAGUGGUAAAAGGUCAAGGUCAAGGUCAUCCUUCAAGGUCAGAGGUCAAUUAUAUGUGGCCAAAAUCGCUCAUUUUAUGAAUACUUUUGCAAUAUUGAAGAUAGCAACUUGAUAUUUGGCAUGCAUGUGCAUCUCAUGGAGCUGCUCAUUUUGAGUGGUGAAAGGUCAAGGUCAUCCUUCAAGGUCAGAGGUCAAAUAUAUGUGGCCCAAAUUGCUUAUUUUAUGAAUACUUUUGCAAUAUUGAAGAUAGCAACUUGAUAUUUGGCAUGCAUGUGUAUCUCAUGGAGCUGCACAUUUUGAGUGGUGAAAGGUCAAGGUCAAGGUCAUCCUUCAAGGUCAGAGGUCAAAUAUAUGUGGCCAAAAUCGCUCAUUUUAUGAAUACUUUUGCAAUAUUGAAGAUAGCAACUUGAUAUUUGGCAUGCAUGUGUAUCUCAUGGAGCUGCACAUUUUGAGUGGUCAAGGUCAAGGUCAUCCUUCAAGGUCAGAGGUCAAAUAUAUGUGGCCCAAACCGCUUAUUUUAUGAAUACUUUUGCAAUAUUGAAGAUAGCAACUUGAUAUUUGGCAUGCAUGUGUAUCUCAUGGAGCUGCACAUUUUGAGUGGUGAAAGGUCAAGGUCAAGGUCAUCCUUCACAAGGUCAAGGUCAUCCUACAAUGUCAAACAUCAUAUAGGGGGACAUUGUGUUUCACAAACACAUCUUGUU